GCUUACGACCACACCGGCCUGAGUACGCCUGAUCUCGUCUGAUCUCGGAAGCUAAUGCAUGGGUCGGGCCUGGUUAGUACUUGGAUGGGAGAACCGCCUGGGAAUACCAGGUGCUGUAAGCU
rnacentral:rRNA from 1 species